GGGCCCGCACAAGCGGUGGAGCAUGUGGUUUAAUUCGAUGCAACGCGAAGAACCUUACCAGGACUUGACAUACUACGAAUUCUUCUGAGAAGAAGAAGUGCCUUCGGGAAUGUAGAUACAGGUGGUGCAUGGCUGUCGUCAGCUCGUGUCGUGAGAUGUUGGGUUAAGUCCCGCAACGAGCGCAACCCUUAUUUUUAGUUACUAAUUCGUUAGGUUCUCUAGAAAGACUGCCGGUGACAAACCGGAGGAAGGUGAGGAUGACGUCAAGUCAGCAUGCCCCUUAUGUCCUGGGCUACACACGUGCUACAAUGGUUAAGACAAAGAGUCGCGAGCUUGUGAAAGUCAGCUAAUCUCAUAAACUUAGCCUAAGUUCAGAUUGUAGGCUGCAACUCGCCUACAUG
rnacentral:rRNA from 1 species